GACAUGUUUUCUAGGAUUAUCGAGUUAUUUACAGGAAAAACAGAGUGCAUGGAGAGAUGAGAGAGAGAAAAAAAUGAUAUUAGGACUUCUUUCUUGUUAUAAAAGUGCAAAAUAAAUAAUCUGGUGUAAAGCAGAGAGAGUAAGCCCUGAGCCAGUACUGGGGAACUUCCUGGAGAAGCUGUGCUUGGGUCAGACCUUCUAGGAGCAGGACUUAUGGUCUGAAACAUCUGGACUUUUAAAGAAGGGACCAAGCGUCAAGAAUAUCUGAUGAAUAUUUGGCAGACAGCCAGAAAUUGACAAGCAUGCAGUUAGUUUGCUAUGAGUUCCUUAAUUUCACUCUGAAUGAGAAAGAUAUCCAAUAGGAGCCACACAGAUAAAUCUUCGACUCUCAGGGGUCUGCUGGGAAGGCAUCAUGCCAACCUUCCACCAUCAAUGAGCAUGUUCAGCAGAUUAAGAAGUAGGAGAAACUGACUAUUGAGCUCAAGAAGAAAACCUCUAUGGAGAUUUUCUUGUUGACUGGGCUCAUAGAUUCAGACCUGAAGUCAGGGAUAAUAUGGACAAUGGAGAUCCAUUUGAAAGAAGCUGCUUAACUUGGAGGAACAGGGAAACAGUGAGCAAGAGUAAGAUGUUUGUCCACCAGGUGAUCCCUUGCUGAGAACAAAGUCUCCUCUUCACAGCCUGAAAACUGGGCAGGCUGGGUAAGUAGGCAUAGCUAACAAGCCAAUCCAAUUGUGUAAAUGUUUGUACAUAUACAGGGUAUAAAGGGAGAGCAUUUCAUUGACUAAUUUGAAUACAAACCCUGUCCACUAUGUUCUUAUAUCUUGCAAGGAAACUUUGGUGUAUUUUGUCUAUCCUGGGAUCCAGAAAGUUCGCUUCUCACUCUCAUUGUGAUUUCUUCCCUCAUAUGACCCUUAAGAGUACUGAGGAAGUCAGAGAAAAACACAGACAACAAUAAUCUACAUUGUAGAGAUCAAUUACUUCUCAUAAGAAACACUUCCUCAUAGCUGUGAAUUCAGCAGAGGGGCAAGCUGCAACCAAUGCUUGAUAUUGCAUCUGAUGUCUGGUAUACAGGCUCAUUGACUAACUAUUCUAUUGGAGAAAGGAAACAUCAAAAGU